CGCUCACCUCUCUCGCCUUUCCUAUUUCGGCUUUGGCUUAUUUUCCCCUUUUUUUUCUUUCCUUUCUUCCUCGCCCAUUGUCGGAACGCACGCGGUAUCCACGCAAGAAGAGGAGGGGAUGGAAAGAAGGGUUCAAAGCUCUCUAUGUGCCUUUGUGUGACGGAUUUCGUUCUUUGACGGGAUCCCUUCUUUCCCCCUCCUUUUGCGACCGUCUUGAUCGCUAUUUUCCGCCUAUCCAGCAGCUUCCUCUUCUCCAAUUCGAAUCGCCUUCUUGUUUGGCUCCCUUUCGCUGAUUCUUGGAUGUUUUAUUUUUUGGGGUAGUUUCUAAUCGCUGCAUUAUCUCUUCAUAUCGAUAAACCGAGAAUUUUUCGAGCCGAUUGAUUGGACCUGAAUGCUCGCGGUUUCAACGUGAAUACAUGAUGGCGGAUCCUUGAAGAAUUAGAUUUAGGGUUUAGGGUUCAAAGAGUAUAAACUUUUUGCUUUUUUCUUUUAAGAAAAAAAGUUAUACUUUAAGCUUUCGACUUGGAAUUCUUUUGAUAUAUACUGGUAAAGCGCGUUCUUUGUUUGGAUCCAUCUUUGUAUUUUAGUGGCGAGUUUUUGUAACUUCUUGCGUGGUGUUUCAGUCGAAUAAAGGUUGGAUGAUGGAAUGGUUUUAUUGAGGGCUCCAGUACUGAUUGUGUUAUUCGCCACUAUAUUACUUGUUGGAAUUCUGAGCUGAAUUGUUGGAAUACUGCUGAUGGUGAUUUGCUUGGGAAUCUCGCCGAGUUCUUGUAGAUAUAGCUUUCUAGCAGACAGCUAAAUGUCAACAGUGUUUUUCGUUGUGAAGUUUUCUCAUCUUUCUUCGUUUACUUUGUGUUAGAUUAUGAAGUGAUUUUAGUUUGAGAUAUGUGAUCAGUGUUGCUGAAGAUACCUAUUAAGUUGGAUUCUGAAGUACUUUUUGAUAAUAGGGCUUUCUCUUGAACUGUUAGCUUGAUCUGUUUGAAGUAAAGUUAAUCUUAAGCUCCACAUUGUAUGGAGGGACUGUGAAAUCUAUCGUUGUUACUUAAAGAAGCCUCCUAUUUUCUCCAGGCUGCAUCAUGACGCACAUAAUUCAGAAUGAAGGUGGCUCAUCUAGCUUGACUUCAAUAAGCAGCCAGGGAAAUGAUACAGAUGAUGACCGGAUGAUUGCAAUUCUUCUUUCAGAAGAGUAUGCUAGUUUAGAUGGUGCAGUUGCUAGACGCCUUUCAAAAAUGUCCUCUGUCCCUCAUGUCCCCCGAAUAAAUACAUUCAUUCCGGAACUGAGCAAUGCCAGUCUAGAUCACCAGCGUCUUCUCCAGAGGCUAAAUGCUUAUGGCUUAUAUGAAGUGAAAGUUUCUGGGGAUGGCAAUUGUCAGUUCCGUGCACUCUCAGACCAGAUGUACAGAUCACCAGAGCAUCACAAACAUGUUCGAAAAGAGAUAGUAAAGCAGCUCAAAGAAUGUCAUUCUUUAUAUGAAGGUUACAUUCCCAUGAAAUACAAGCACUACUGCAAGAAAAUGGCCAAAUCUGGUGAAUGGGGAGACCAUGUUACACUACAAGCAGCUGCUGAUAAGUUUGCGGCAAAGAUACGUCUUCUAACUUCGUUUAGAGAUACCUGUUUUGUUGAGGUUGUUCCACAAUAUCAAACUCCUCAAAGAGAGCUGUGGCUGAGUUUCUGGUCCGGAGUACACUACAAUUCAAUUUAUAAGCUUCAAGAUCUUCCAGUUCGGUGCAAGCCUAGAAAGAAACACUGGUUAUUUUAGAGGGUCACGUAGAGCUUCAAAGAGUUAUGGAGGGCUUUAAGAUGCCAAAAAAAAAACCAUAAAUACAUACACUUCCGUAGACUAAUCUUAAACCAGAACCUGUCGUGCAUUUAUUGAAUGAGUUAUAUAGCCUGCUAGUGGGACGGAUGUGAAUACGGCCAACAAGAUCAAAAAAUAUAAGACUAUAUAAGGGCACGGACACUGACUCGUGGUUCGUCCAAAUAAAACUCUCAGAAUGAUGAGCUGCAUGAGAAGCAACCCAAUCUAUAGCACCGUUAGCCUAUAUAUAUAAACCUAUGUGUUUUCUGUGAGUAGCAAUGCAAGAGGGCUGGGAGGAUUUUUUUUGUUUCCAUUUAUUUAUUUUUUUUAAUAAGUCCUCAGCUGUUAGAAACUGCUAUGAACCGUGAUGGCCAGCCAUAACCAGGUUAAGAUGGUCCACCGGUAUAACCAUGAAAAAAA